AUACAUAGCAGCACUUAAACUAUUGGAAGAGCAAGACAGUCAUACCCAUUCAUGAAUACCAUUGUGAUUGCAUCAUAAAAUCCAGGAUGUAUUGAUGAUGAAUUACCCUACAGCAAUCAUGGCAUUGCUUAUAUGGACUUGUCACCUCUACUUUUUCCAGGUGUGACAAAAGUCAAAGGAGCUUUCCCUGUCGGAGUUUAUAGAGAAACAGAGAUGUUAGAAAUGACAAAACAAAGGUCUUUCCUGGCCAGUGGAGGGAUUCAGAUGGUUACAUCUUUAUUUUAUCCGAGAAGAAAUCCAAUGCACAUCAGUGUAGACCAAGUUGCCAAUCCUAAAACAGUUAGUUAAUUUU
rnacentral:misc_RNA from 1 species